GACGAACGCUGGCGGCGCGCCUAACACAUGCAAGUCGAACGAGGUCUUUUAGAAGCUUGCUUCUGGCUGACCUAGUGGCGGACGGGUGAGUAACACGUGAGCAACCUGCCCUACAGAGGGGGAUAACGUCUGGAAACGGACGCUAAUACCGCAUAACGUAUCGGAGUGGCAUCGCUCUGGUACCAAAGGAGAAAUCCGCUGUGGGAUGGGCUCGCGGCCGAUUAGAUAGUUGGUGAGGUAACGGCUCACCAAGUCGACGAUCGGUAGCCGGACUGAGAGGUUGAUCGGCCACAUUGGGACUGAGACACGGCCCAGACUCCUACGGGAGGCAGCAGUGGGGGAUAUUGCACAAUGGGGGAAACCCUGAUGCAGCGACGCCGCGUGGGUGAAGACGGCCUUCGGGUCGUAAAGCUCUGUCUUUAGGGAAGAACAGCAGUAGUGCGAAUAGUGCUAUUGCCUGACGGUACCUGAGGAGGAAGCUCCGGCUAACUACGUGCCAGCCGCCGCAGUAAAAC
rnacentral:rRNA from 1 species